CCUACGUGUGGCAGCAGUGGGGAAUAUUGCACAAUGGGGGAAACCCUGAUGCAGCGACGCCGCGUGAGUGACGAAGUAUUUCGGUAUGUAAAGCUCUAUCAGCAGGGAAGAAAAUGACGGUACCUGAGCAAGAAGCCCCGGCUAACUACGUGCCAGCAGCCGCGGUAAUACGUAGGGGGAAAGCGUUAUCCGGAUUUACUGGGUGUAAAGGGAGCGUAGACGGCUGUGCAAGUCUGGUGUGAAAGUCGGGGGCUCAACCCCCGGACUGCUCUGGAAACUGUCCGGCUGGAGUGCCGGAGAGGUAAGUGGAAUUCCUAGUGUAGCGGUGAAAUGCGUAGAUAUUAGGAGGAACACCAGUGGCGAAGGCGGCUUACUGGACUAUAACUGACGUUGAGGCUCGAAAGCGUGGGGAGCAAACAGGAUUAGAUACCCGAGUAGUC
rnacentral:rRNA from 1 species